GUAUAGAGAAUCAGACAUCAACAGAUUCAAUUAUGCAAGUUUACGCCAAACAAUGGCUUGCACGCACGCUUGAGGAUCAGAAGAGUUCAGAACUGGCAGCAGCACAGAGCUACAGGCUGUUCGUCAGCGACGGCAACGGGACGUCCAUCGGGUUUCUCCACGAUCAGGUUCUGCACCUCUGAGCAGUACCCCGCAGCAGCCGCCGCCCGUCCACCCAUCUUCGUUAUGCGUGCAUCCCAUCGUGCCCCGCCACAGGUGCCGCCAUGGCGCCAUCAGCGCACCUGACGCCCGCGCGCUCCAUGGGGAAGUCGAUCUCGCCCGCCGCCCGCCGUCACCUAACCCGUCCGCGUCACAGCACGGGCCUGGCCUCCCCCGCGAGCAGGGGUGGACCUAGGGUAGAAUUUAAGAGGGGGCGCACCUUAAGAACUGCUAGAUCAAUGGAGCUUGAGUAUGGUGAAAAAUUAGUUUUUACCUUGGCGUCCAAAUUCUGAGUGAGGGCCUGUGCCCUCUCAGAAAAAAUUGUACUGCUGCUGCUUGUUGAUUGGCUGUACAGCCGUAGCCAAACAGCUGCAACAAGCAGAAAUGAGCAGGCUUAAUGUGGGUUCACCCCUGCCGGUGAGGUGUGGCUAUCCUCGCCCUCAAGUCUCGAUACCUCACGCGCAGCCGCUAU
rnacentral:lncRNA from 1 species